rnacentral:rRNA from 1 species
ACACAUGCAGUCGAACGGCAGCACGGGAGCAAUCCUGGUGGCGAGUGGCGAACGGGUGAGUAAUACAUCGGAACGUGCCCAGUUGUGGGGGAUAGCCCGGCGAAAGCCGGAUUAAUACCGCAUACGACCUGAGGGUGAAAGCGGGGGAUCGCAAGACCUCGCGCAAUUGGAGCGGCCGAUGUCAGAUUAGCUAGUUGGUGGGGUAAAGGCCUACCAAGGCGACGAUCUGUAGCUGGUCUGAGAGGACGACCAGCCACACUGGGACUGAGACACGGCCCAGACUCCUACGGGAGGCAGCAGUGGGGAAUUUUGGACAAUGGGCGCAAGCCUGAUCCAGCAAUGCCGCGUGCGGGAAGAAGGCCUUCGGGUUGUAAACCGCUUUUGUCAGGGAAGAAACGCUUUGGGUUAAUACCCUGGAGUAAUGACGGUACCUGAAGAAUAAGCACCGGCUAACUACGUGCCAGCAGCCGCGGUAAUACGUAGGGUGCGAGCGUUAAUCGGAAUUACUGGGCGUAAAGCGUGCGCAGGCGGUUAUGCAAGACAGAUGUGAAAUCCCCGGGCUCAACCUGGGAACUGCAUUUGUGACUGCAUGACUAGAGUACGGCAGAGGGGGAUGGAAUUCCGCGUGUAGCAGUGAAAUGCGUAGAUAUGCGGAGGAACACCGAUGGCGAA